CACUGUGGUCCGCUUGACAUCUUUUACUGACAUCUCCGAGUGUCUGAAGCCCCAGCUGGAGAGAAAAUACACUUACACAGAAGAGCAUAAUGUUAAAACUGUAUCAAAUGUUGGAGCCUUGGGAGGAUUUGACAUGGAAAACUUGUUGCAAUCUUUGUAUGUAGAAAACAGAGCGGGAUUCUUCUUUACUAAAUUCUGUGAGAAUUCAGGGAACAAGCUGUGGAAGCACAGUGUGUACUUUUGGUUUGACCUCCAGGCUUAUCAUCAGCUGUUCUACCAAGAAACACUUCAACCUUUCAAAGUAUGCAAGCAAGCC
rnacentral:lncRNA from 1 species